rnacentral:tRNA from 1 species
UGGGGCGCCUGGGCCGGAGGCGGCCUCGUCACGGAUGAGGUCGGCGAGCAGAUGAGCCGGUCGGGGAUCCUGGCCAUGCCCCCCGA